rnacentral:rRNA from 1 species
GACGAACGCUGGCGGCGUGCUUAACACAUGCAAGUCGAACGGAAAGGCCCUGCUUUUGUGGGGUGCUCGAGUGGCGAACGGGUGAGUAACACGUGAGUAACCUGCCCUUGACUUUGGGAUAACUUCAGGAAACUGGGGCUAAUACCGGAUAGGAGCUCCUGCUGCAUGGUGGGGGUUGGAAAGUUUCGGCGGUUGGGGAUGGACUCGCGGCUUAUCAGCUUGUUGGUGGGGUAGUGGCUUACCAAGGCUUUGACGGGUAGCCGGCCUGAGAGGGUGACCGGCCACAUUGGGCCUGAGAUACGGCCCAGACUCCUACGGGAGGCAGCAGUGGGGAAUAUUGCACAAUGGGCGGAAGCCUGAUGCAGCAACGCCGCGUGCGGGAUGACGGCCUUCGGGUUGUAAACCGCUUUCGCCUGUGACGAAGCGUGAGUGACGGUAAUGGGUAAAGAAGCACCGGCUAACUACGUGCCAGCAGCCGCGGUGAUACGUAGGGUGCGAGCGUUGUCCGGAUUUAUUGGGCGUAAAGGGCUCGUAGGUGGUUGAUCGCGUCGGAAGUGUAAUCUUGGGGCUUAACCCUGAGCGUGCUUUCGAUACGGGUUGACUUGAGGAAGGUAGGGGAGAAUGGAAUUCCUGGUGGAGCGGUGGAAUGCGCAGAUAUCAGGAGGAACACCAGUGGCGAAGGCGGUUCUCUGGGCCUUUCCUGACGCUGAGGAGCGAAAGCGUGGGGAGCGAACAGGCUUAGAUACCCUGGUAGUCCACGCUGUAAACGGUGGGUACUAGGUGUGGGGUCCAUUCCACGGGUUCCGUGCCGUAGCUAACGCUUUAAGUACCCCGCCUGGGGAGUACGGCCGCAAGGCUAAAACUCAAAGGAAUUGACGGGGCCCCGCACAAGCGGCGGAGCAUGCGGAUUAAUUCGAUGCAACGCGUAGAACCUUACCUGGGUUUGACAUGGAUCGGGAGUGCUCAGAGAUGGGUGUGCCUCUUUUGGGGUCGGUUCACAGGUGGUGCAUGGCUGUCGUCAGCUCGUGUCGUGAGACGUUGGGUUAAGUCCCGCAACGAGCGCAACCCUUGUUCACUGUUGCCAGCACGUUAUGGUGGGGACUCAGUGGAGACCGCCGGGGUCAACUCGGAGGAAGGUGGGGAUGACGUCAAGUCAUCAUGCCCCUUAUGUCCAGGGCUUCACGCAUGCUACAAUGGCUGGUACAGAGAGUGGCGAGCCUGUGAGGGUGAGCGAAUCUCGGAAAGCCGGUCUCAGUCCGGAUUGGGGUCUGCGACUCGACCUCAUGAAGUCGGAGUCGCUAGUAAUCGCAGAUCAGCAACGCUGCGGUGAAUACGUUCCCGGG